GUGCCAGCCGCCGCGGUAAUACAGAGGGUGCAAGCGUUGUUCGGAAUUAUUGGGCGUAAAGGGAGUGUAGGCGGCUUGUUAAGUCUUCUGUGAAAGCUGCGGGCUUAGCCUGCAAAGUGCAGAGGAAACUGGCGAGCUUGAGUGUCGGAGAGGAUAGGGGAAUACCCAGUGUAGAGGUGAAAUUCGUAGAGAUUGGGUGGAACACCAGUGGCGAAGGCGCCUGUCUGGCUGACAACUGACGCUGAGACUCGAAAGCAUGGGGAGCAAACAGGAUUAGAAACCCUGGUAGUCC
rnacentral:rRNA from 1 species